CAGCGCCACGAGUGGGAACCGCUUUUAUUGGGCCUAAAGCGUUCGUAGCCGGUUUUGUGAAUCUUUUGUGAAACUGUUGAGCUCAACUCAACAACGUGCAGAAGACACUGCAAAACUUGGGACCGGGAGGAGUCAGAGGUAUGUCUGGGGGAGCGGUAAAAUGUUGUAAUCCCAGAUAGACCACCUGUGGCGAAGGCAUCUGACCAGAACGGAUCCGACGGUGAGGGACGAAAGCCAGGGGAGCAAAACGGAUUAGAGACCCGUGUAGUCC
rnacentral:rRNA from 1 species